rnacentral:rRNA from 1 species
CCUACGGGAGGCAGCAGUAAGGAAUAUUGGUCAAUGGGCGCAAGCCUGAACCAGCCAUGCCGCGUGCAGGAAGACGGCCCUAUGGGUUGUAAACUGCUUUUGAACAAGAGAAAACCUCGGUACGUGUACCGAGCUGAUAGUAUUGUUAGAAUAAGCAUCGGCUAACUUCGUGCCAGCAGCCGCGGUAAGACGAAGGAUGCAAGCGUUAUCCGGAUUCAUUGGGUUUAAAGGGUGCGUAGGCGGCCUGAUAAGUCAGUGGUGAAAUCUCUCAGCUUAACUGAGAAACUGCCAUUGAUACUGUCGGGCUUGAGUACAGAUGAUGUGGGCGGAAUAUGACAUGUAGUGGUGAAAUACUUAGAUAUGUCAUAGAACACCGAUUGCGAAGGCAGCUCACAAAACUGUAAACUGACGCUGAGGCACGAAAGUGCGGGGAUCAAACAGGAUUAGAUACCCUGGUAGUCCGCACCGUAAACGAUGAUUACUCGUUGUUGGCAAUAUGACCGUCAGCGACCAAGCGAAAAGCGAUAAGAAUCCACCUGGGGAGUACGCCGGCAACGGUGAAACUCAAAGGAAUUGACGGCUUGAGAGNGCGAGAGACACGAGGGAGAG